UAUGCGCCCACACGCCACGUGCCGACCGUGGUUGACGUCAAACACGUCGCGCACUUCGCCCCCCUCCCCCUCAGGGUUCCAUUUACUCAUCCCCGCAGUUACUCGCACAACCCACUUCGCAUUUCAAACCAUUGGAGGAGAAGACGAGGGGAGAAGGCGACGGCGGAGGCGGAAGAGUCGAUGGUGUUCGCGGCCGUCGGUGGUGCUCGCCGGACCGGAGCGGCUUCGCCGGAGCGCCUGCAGAUUGAAGCAAAAUGGCUCGCGGUGAUCAUCAAAACGAUGAUGAUGAUUUCAUGAAUCCACCACAGCAGAAUCGGGCAACUGGACGGAGAAAAGAGGGUGAUGAGAAGAAGAAACGUAUUCGCAAUAGAGCCUCCCAAGAACGACUGACUUCAUUGACUGACAGAUUUACCGACGAUCAGAAGGGAGCUGCUGCUGAGAUGGGUAUGCAGGCUCUGAUGAAUGUUCGCUGCACGAAUCUUGUCAAUCCUAUAUGCGAUUGGCUUGGUGAGAUUUACGACCCCGCCUCCAGGGAAUUUGUGAUUCCGGAACAUGGAAGACUGCUGUUGAACGAGGAAUCUGUGUUCUGCACUUUGGGUGUGCCUCGUGGACAAAUCAAAGUCCCGUAUGAGGUCAAUAACAAGAUCGAGGAAGCGAUG